GCAGUUGAGCGCUGAGGUUGGUACUUGUACCGACUGGAUGAGCAGCGAACGGGCGAUUAACGCGUGGGGAAUCUGCCUUUGAGCGGGGGACAACAUUUGGAAACGAAUGCUAAUACCGCAUAAAAACUUUAAACACAAGUUUUAAGUUUGAAAGAUGCAAUUGCAUCACUCAAAGAUGAUCCCGCGUUGUAUUAGCUAGUUGGUGAGGUAAAGGCUCACCAAGGCGAUGAUACAUAGCCGACCUGAGAGGGUGAUCGGCCACAUUGGGACUGAGACACGGCCCAAACUCCUACGGGAGGCAGCAGUAGGGAAUCUUCGGCAAUGGACGAAAGUCUGACCGAGCAACGCCGCGUGAGUGAAGAAGGUUUUCGGAUCGUAAAACUCUGUUGGUAGAGAAGAACGUUGGUGAGAGUGGAAAGCUCAUCAAGUGACGGUAACUACCCAGAAAGGGACGGCUAACUACGUGCCAGCAGCCGCGGUAAUACGUAGGUCCCGAGCGUUGUCCGGAUUUAUUGGGCGUAAAGCGAGCGCAGGUGGUUUAUUAAGUCUGGUGUAAAAGGCAGUGGCUCAACCAUUGUAUGCAUUGGAAACUGGUAGACUUGAGUGCAGGAGAGGAGAGUGGAAUUCCAUGUGUAGCGGUGAAAUGCGUAGAUAUAUGGAGGAACACCGGUGGCGAAAGCGGCUCUCUGGCCUGUAACUGACACUGAGGCUCGAAAGCGUGGGGAGCAAACAGGAUUAGAUACCCUGGUAGUCCACGCCGUANACGAUGAGUGCUAGAUGUAGGGAGCUAUAAGUUCUCUGUAUCGCAGCUAACGCAAUAAGCACUCCGCCUGGGGAGUACGACCGCAAGGU
rnacentral:rRNA from 1 species